rnacentral:rRNA from 1 species
GUGGGGAAUAUUGGGCAAUGGGGGAAACCCUGACCCAGCAACGUCGCGUGAAGGAAGAAGGUUUUCGGAUCGUAAACUUCUAUCCUUGGUGAAGAUAAUGACGGUAGCCAAGAAGGAAGCCCCGGCUAACUACGUGCCAGCAGCCGCGGUAAUACGUAGGGGGCAAGCGUUGUCCGGAAUGAUUGGGCGUAAAGGGCGCGUAGGCGGCCUGGUAAGUCUGGAGUGAAAGUCCUGCUUUUAAGGUGGGAAUUGCUUUGGAUACUGUCGGGCUUGAGUGCAGGAGAGGUAAGCGGAAUUCCCGGUGUAGCGGUGAAAUGCGUAGAGAUCGGGAGGAACACCAGUGGCGAAGGCGGCUUACUGGACUGUAACUGACACUGAGGUACGAAAGCGUGGGGAGCAAACAGGAUUAGAAACCCCUGUAGUCC